UCGAGCGGUAGAGAGAACUUGCUUCUCUUGAGAGCGGCGGACGGGUGAGUAAUGCCUAGGAAUCUGCCUGGUAGUGGGGGAUAACGUUCGGAAACGGACGCUAAUACCGCAUACGUCCUACGGGAGAAAGCAGGGGACCUUCGGGCCUUGCGCUAUCAGAUGAGCCUAGGUCGGAUUAGCUAGUUGGUGAGGUAAUGGCUCACCAAGGCGACGAUCCGUAACUGGUCUGAGAGGAUGAUCAGUCACACUGGAACUGAGACACGGUCCAGACUCCUACGGGAGGCAGCAGUGGGGAAUAUUGGACAAUGGGCGAAAGCCUGAUCCAGCCAUGCCGCGUGUGUGAAGAAGGUCUUCGGAUUGUAAAGCACUUUAAGUUGGGAGGAAGGGUUGUAGAUUAAUACUCUGCAAUUUUGACGUUACCGACAGAAUAAGCACCGGCUAACUCUGUGCCAGCAGCCGCGGUAAUACAGAGGGUGCAAGCGUUAAUCGGAAUUACUGGGCGUAAAGCGCGCGUAGGUGGUUUGUUAAGUUGGAUGUGAAAUCCCCGGGCUCAACCUGGGAACUGCAUUCAAAACUGACUGACUAGAGUAUGGUAGAGGGUGGUGGAAUUUCCUGUGUAGCGGUGAAAUGCGUAGAUAUAGGAAGGAACACCAGUGGCGAAGGCGACCACCUGGACUAAUACUGACACUGAGGUGCGAAAGCGUGGGGAGCAAACAGGAUUAGAUACCCUGGUAGUCCACGCCGUANACGAUGUCAACUAGCCGUUGGAANCCUUGAGCUUUUAGUGGCGCAGCUAACGCAUUAAGUUGAC
rnacentral:rRNA from 1 species